AAUCUUCCACAAUGGACGAAAGUCUGAUGGAGCAAUGCCGCGUGAGUGAAGAAGGUUUUCGGAUCGUAAAGCUCUGUUGUAAGGGAAGAACAAGUACAGGAGUAACUGCCUGUACCUUGACGGUACCUUACCAGAAAGCCACGGCUUACUACGUGCCAGCAGCCGCGGUAAUACGUAGGUGGGAAGCGUUGUCAGGAAUUAUUUGGCGUAAGGCGCGGGCAGGCGGUCCUUUAAGUCUGAUGUGAAAGCCCACGGCUCAACCGUGGAGGGUCAUUGAAAACUGGAGGACUUGAGUACAGAAGAGGAAAGCGGAAUUCCACGUGUAGCGGUGAAAUGCGUAGAGAUGUGGAGGAACACCAGUGGCGAAGGCGGCUUUCUGGUCUGUAACUGACGCUGAGGCGCGAAAGCGUGGGGAGCAAAC
rnacentral:rRNA from 1 species